rfam:Firmicutes bacterium CAG:791 genomic scaffold, scf154
UGGUUCAGAUAGAACCAGCCGAAGACAGCAGGUGUCCGCAAGGACGUAAUGCGCAGCAGCCUGCCGAGGAUGAUGAAGUGAAAUUCGAGUCCCUCUGUCAUGCGGCAGAGGGAUUUUUCAUUUAUCUC